rnacentral:tRNA from 1 species
GGAGUAUAGUUCAACGGUUAGAAUAACGGUCUCCAAAACCGAUGAUGCGGGUUCGAUUCCUGCUACUC